GCGGCCGCGACAUGGACGGGCUCGGCCCUGGGCUCUCGGGAGGGACGGACGGACGGUGCUCACCCGUUUUUGAGGUCGACCUCGAGCAGGCGGCCGUAGCCGCUGAAGAAGCGCUGGAUGUCCUUCUCCCGAACAUGGCCACUGCGCAGAGCAUCUACUGAGGACUGAGAGCAAAUACAACACAGCAUGAGAUUUUGGGCAAGACAGAUGGUUCAGGCAUGAUUUCCUGCAAAUCUUACCUUUGGCACAGCCAGGUUUGUCAGAUAAUGGCGGUGACCAUGAGUUGAAUCUUCAAUUUAGUGCUUUGACCAGCAGGUACUUUCCGAUUGAGAUUAUUUGCAUGGAAUAACACGAAGCUCCAUCAGCAGAGCAGCUCUCCUGGAAAAUAAUGACAUCUUCAGCUGUGUGGGAGCCAGGACAAAGCCCACUCCCCGCUUGUAAUCCACUGGAAGCCACUCAGUAGCACUUGAGCAAGGUCUAAGGGGGCAGGGCUGUGUGCCAGGCCUCUCCCUUGCAGCCAAGGCAUUAUGCAUUAUGUAACAAAAGGUGUCAGGCUGGCUUUUUGCACUGGCUGAAAGCAAAAUCACAACCAUUUGAAGCAGGCUCUUUGGAAACUAAAAUUAUCUUCACAUCAUAUUUCUUCUCCAGUAAUGCCGGCAUUACAUUUUUUCAAAUUCUGAGUCAGACAUCAGGAAAAAGAGUAAAAAUGUAAUAGGCUCAAAUAUCACAGAAUCAUUCAUGUUG